rnacentral:rRNA from 1 species
GUCUACAGCCAUACCACCCUGAACACGCCCGAUCUCAUCUGAUCUCAGAAGCUCAGCAAGGUCAGGCCUGGUUAGUACUUGGAUGGGAGAUUGGAAAGAACUCCCGCCCCUGCC